rnacentral:rRNA from 1 species
GAUGAACGCUAGCGGCAGGCCUAAUACAUGCAAGCUGAACGGCAAGAUUUGUAGCAAUACGAGUCCUAGAGUAGCGUAAGGGUGCGUAACACGUAUGCAAUCUGCCCGCAACAGGAGGAUAGCUUAGCGAAAGUUGAGAUAAGACUCCAUAAGAUCACGAGAGGGCAUCUGAUUGUGAUUAAACUACAAGGGGUUGCGGAUGAGCANGCGUCUGAUUAGUUAGUUGGCGGGGUAACGGCCCACCAAGACGAUGAUCAGUAGGGGAACUGAGA